GAUUUUAUUUCUCACUCUACGGGUGUCAGAAAAAUAUGAAACUUGAAAUCUAGUCUCAUAAAAAUAUUUUUGACUUAUCCUCCAAUUUUCAUAAUUUUUUGAGACUGUGCAUUUUUUGCUAAUUUAUCUGUCCCGUUUCCAACAGAAAAUUCUAGAUCUUCUGUUUUCAUUCCGAUUUCAGCACAAGUCACUUCUGACUUAUAUUUUACUUCUAUAAAUCCAAUAAAAAUAGUUUCUCACACUAUUUUUAUUUAUUUUUAUUUUUAUACCAAAAUCUGAUAUGUUACAUUCCUAG
rnacentral:lncRNA from 1 species